UAAUAAGUGUUUUAUGGCACUUUUAAAUCCAUAUCCACCUUGUGUGCAAUGUCAGUCGAUCUUCUUCAUGGAGAUCGACCAAACAUCAACCUUUAUCUUUUAACUCUUUGUCUGAAAAAUAUUAUGAAUAAACAAUUCAAAUA
rnacentral:misc_RNA from 1 species